CAUAAAAUGAAACCUCUCAAUGUAAUUAGCGCCUUUUAAAUAUGAAUUUAUGUCAUUACUUUGGUACUUAUGAUAGCAAUUUUAAAAGCAAGUUAUCUGUAAUGAUAUGUAAAUAUCGUCCUUUUAUUUUCUCCCCAGACCUUCUUAUCCUGCUUUACUCUGCUCACAUAGCUGAGUCCAGCGAAAGGAUUGAUCUGUCUGUUGAUCCUCCAUGGACAGACGUGUUGACUGGAGAUACAGUCACCUUCACUUGUGAGAUCACAGGGACUGACCCCGGCAUUUUGUGGGAAUAUUCAUGGUUUAAGCGUGAUGGAAAUGGUGGAGAACAAGCUUUGCUGUCCACCAGCUCCAGCGAAGGCUCAUCUAAAUACACCAUGACCAAGGUGAAAAAUGCAGACAGCGCACAGUAUUGGUGUACAGCAAAGACAGGAAAUCAGACAUUCAACAGUUCACUGCACACG
rnacentral:lncRNA from 1 species